AAGGAUCUGAUUCUAUCUCUCCUGUUACUGUUGAUUAAAUAGAGAGAGUAAAAACAAGAGAGCUUGCUUGCUUAAUCAGAAUAGAGUUUAUUUACACACAGAAACAUACAUUUGCCCGUAGUCAGGCCCAAAGAAAUUGCUGCCCUUAUGUACAGGUUUAAUUUUGCCCUCUAUUUAAUCAUUAACUCUUUCUGUUCUAAGCAAGAAGUUCAUUUAAAUGGUGAUGUUACAAAGGAAAGCUUUACUUAGCUUCCUUUCCAUCCAGAAAUGCAUGUGGAUGAACUUGUGUGCUGCAGCCUGGGGAAGACAGUGAGCAUUGAACAGCCACAUCAUGUGAGAUCCAAGAUCAGCACAGUGGUCUCUCUGAGGGAUUUGCGAGUGGUCUUCCACCUUCUGAAUCCUCAUGAUCCUUCCCAGUGCCCUGACCUCCUCGCGUGCAGCGGGGGCGGACUUCAUGAGAAUGAAAAGAAGCUUUAACUCAAAUAUAAAUGCUGCAGAAGAUGCCUCUUCUAUUCCAUCAGCAAUGUCUGCAACACUGGCUUUGAUUCUCAGAUUUAAUUACUGACGAUAGUCCUUCAAGUGUUACGGUCCCACUGCAGCAGAGCCAUGGUUUUUCUGGGAAAGUGACUUCAGAAACAGAAUGAAAUAAAUAAAAAGUAUCAUGUGAUUCCAUAUAACUGCAGGCAGAUUAUAUCCUCAAUUACACUUGUACAACUCUAUUAAAUACCAGUGGGGUUGCACAGGUGUAACUGGAAGCACGACUGCCCUCACAAUCUGAAACACCACAGGGCAGAAGCAAGAACAUGCCACCAACCUCCACAGCCCCAGCCAGGCUGGCAGGCACAACUACAGCACCACAAAAAUCUGCCAGAUGUCUGGGUUUCAGCCUUCAACAUUUCAGCUCUGACCCGGGGGCAUGACUAGUGACUAUCUCUGGACAUAGGUGAUUCUGAUUCUGUGAUAACACAGACGGAAAAAAAGGAAAAGAUUUGAGCUUAUUCUUGAACGGUUUAUGGGAAAAGUUACAAAUUUCCAUACCUAUUUGUGUUUGCACAUCAGUGGUCUUUUUUUCUCCAUGCUCAUAGCCUAAUCAACGAGGAACAUGUAAAACAAAUGUUAGCUUAUAAAAUUAGAGACACUCCGCUAAGAUGCCGCUGCUGAGAUGUGUGAUGUUCCAAACAAUAGAGCAUAAGAUUUAAAUAACUGAAAGCUAUUUUAGAAUAAAUGUGACUUGUUUCAGUGGAGUACACAAGAAGAAAAUAAAAUUAAGGAAAAUA